rnacentral:sRNA from 1 species
GGCAUUCGAGGUCAGGUCAAGUCUGAGCCACAGAGGAGUGACCUGCAGGACAGCCCAGCCAGGGCUGGGAGCUGGAGCAGGCCCAUGUCUGGAGAGGCUGCAGAGAGAGGCCAAGAUCCGAGGAAUGGGCAUGAACUCCCCGGAGCUGCUCCUGCUGGUGGAAAAUUGUCCCAAGGGGGCAGAGACACUGGUCACGCGAUGUCUGCACAGCCUCACAGACAAAGUCCCACCCUCCCCGGAGCUGGUGAAGCGGGUCCGGGAUCUCUACCACAAGCGACUGCCAGACGUCCGCUUCCUCAUCCCGGUGCUCAAUGGGCUGGAGAAGAAAGAGGUGAUCCAGGCCCUGCCUAAACUCAUCAAACUCAACCCCAUCGUGGUGAAGGAAGUCUUCAACCGCCUGCUGGGCACCCAGCAUGGUGAGGGAAACUCAGCCUUGUCCCCGCUGAACCCUGGAGAGCUCCUAAUCGCAUUACACAACAUCGACUCCGUGAAGUGCGACAUGAAAUCCAUCAUCAAAGCCACCAACCUGUGCUUUGCGGAGCGGAACGUGUACACGUCAGAGGUGCUGGCCGUGGUGAUGCAGCAGCUGAUGGAGCAGAGCCCCCUGCCCAUGCUGCUCAUGAGGACCGUCAUCCAGUCCCUGACCAUGUACCCCCGCCUGGGGGGCUUCGUCAUGAACAUCCUGUCCCGCCUCAUCAUGAAGCAGGUGUGGAAGUACCCCAAGGUGUGGGAGGGCUUCAUCAAGUGCUGCCAGCGCACCAAGCCCCAGAGCUUCCAGGUCAUCCUGCAGCUGCCGCCCCAGCAGCUGGGAGCUGUCUUUGACAAGUGCCCGGAGCUCCGGGAGCCCCUGCUGGCCCAUGUCCGCUCCUUCACCCCCCACCAGCAAGCUCACAUCCCUAACUCCAUCAUGACCAUCUUGGAGGCCAGCGGCAAGCAGGAGCCAGAGGCCAAGGAGGCGCCUGCGGGGCCCUUGGAGGAGGAUGACCUGGAGCCCCUGGCCUUGGCCCCGGCCCCAGCACCCCGGCCCCCUCAGGACCUCAUCGGCCUGCGGCUGGCCCAGGAGAAGGCCUUAAAGCGGCAGCUGGAGGAGGAGCAGAAGCUGAAGCCGGGAGGAGUGGGAGCCCCCUCCUCUUCCUCCUCCUCUCCCUCUCCCUCGGCCCGGCCGGGCCCGCCCCCGUCUGAGGAAGCCAUGGAUUUCCGGGAGGAGGGGCCUGAGUGCGAGACCCCGGGCAUCUUCAUCAGCAUGGAUGACGACUCGGGGCUGACCGAGGCCGCGCUGUUGGACUCUAGUCUCGAGGGCCCCCUACCCAAGGAGACGGCAGCGGGCGGGCUGACCUUGAAGGAGGAGCGGAGCCCCCAGACCCUAGCACCUAUUGGAGAAGAUGCUGUGAAGACCCCCAGCCCGGCUGCCGAGGACGCCAGGGAACCCGAGGCCAAGGGGAACAGCUGACGGGGCUCGAGGGGGAAGGGGGGUGGGACAGGGACGCGGGGCUGGGGACGGGGCGGGGCUUGACCUGCGGAUGCUUUGCCUUAAAAAAAAAUAAAAGAUGUGAACUUGGGCAAGUUACUGAAAAUAAAAAAAAAAAGGGAUGGCUGGCC